ensembl:lncRNA
AAGCCUUUCAUUCACAGAAUCAGGUAUACAUAAUCUAUAGAUAACAUCUCCAAGUUGCCACACCAAAAACCUCAGCAAUCAUACUGAGACAGCAGUGAUCUUAUGUUUACUUAGUCAAGUAUAGGAGCCGGCUGCAACCAUUAAACAGUGGGCAGGAUAGAGAUGUACUGAUUGUCUCCCUUCUGAUAAUCACGGGACGGAAAUGACUCAGUUUGUGUUUACCAAGCGCCAUAACACGUCUGAGAGCCUGCAUGCAUAAUGGCUGAUUAUUGAAAUGAUGACAGAGACAUGUCAAGUACAGGCUUUCGUCUUACUAUGACCAAAGUAUUAGUCUUAUAAUUAGGCAGUUCCGGCACGUUUGUGUGCAGUAUUUGUUUCUAAGAAAAACAUAUAUAUGAAUAAUAUAUAAUAUAAAUAUAUAAAUAGAAAAAAAGAAAGGAAAAAACAUCCUGAGACUAUCCUCAUCAAAGCACAUUUCCAGAUGGCCUUUCUGAGUACAUAAACUCCACAAGGAUAUCCUCCCCUGCCACUGACUGUGAAUUACCCAUGAGGCUGUGGGGCUACUUUGGGCCGCCCAUUGUGAUCAGGCCUGUGCACUGAGGUCAUGAGGGGAGCCAGACUGGCAGGCACUCUGCGGCUUCCUCUGAGAUACCAGAUCAAGUAAAUCAGAAUUAGAACUUG